rnacentral:rRNA from 1 species
GCAGACCACUCCUACGGGAGGCAGCAGUGGGGAAUAUUGCACAAUGGGCGCAAGCCUGAUGCAGCCAUGCCGCGUGUAUGAAGAAGGCCUUCGGGUUGUAAAGUACUUUCAGCAGUGAGGAAGGUGGAUAUGUUAAUAGCAUAUUCAUUUGACGUUAGCUGCAGAAGAAGCACCGGCUAACUCCGUGCCAGCAGCCGCGGUAAUACGGAGGGUGCGAGCGUUAAUCGGAAUUACUGGGCGUAAAGCGCAUGCAGGUGGUUUGUUAAGUCAGAUGUGAAAGCCCGGGGCUCAACCUCGGAAUUGCAUUUGAAACUGGCAAACUAGAGUACUGUAGAGGGGGUAGAAUUUCAGGUGUAGCGGUGAAAUGCGUAGAGAUCUGAAGGAAUACCGGUGGCGAAGGCGGCCCCCUGGACAGAUACUGACACUCAGAUGCGAAAGCGUGGGGAGCAAACAGGAUUAGAUCCCCUGGUAG